CAAAAACGAGCAUCUAAUUUCUCAUAUAAUGACUUUCUUUGGUAUCAGGGUGAAGAGGCGGCAGCAGGCACUUGUUCAAGGACAUUCAUAUCCAAAAAUCUGUCGGCCAGAAGAUGUUGCUGCUGAAGAAGGCGCUUCAAACAGAAAUGCUUGCCUUUAAUUCUUGCAUUCCCGUUAAGGAUAUUUCAGCUUUGCCCACAAGAAAUAAGAAGUGAAGAAGGAUAUCACGUUUGCUCACGUCAUGUGCAUCAUUAAUCGUCACAACCUUGACCUACAAUGCUCGCAAUAAAGUAUGCUAGCAAAAGUCGCGUUA
rnacentral:lncRNA from 1 species